rnacentral:rRNA from 1 species
UACAGAGGUCUCAAGCGUUGUUCGGAUUCAUUGGGCGUAAAGGGUGCGUAGGCGGCGUGGUAAGUCGGGUGUGAAAUCUCGGAGCUUAACUCCGAAACUGCAUUCGAUACUGCCGUGCUUGAGGACUGGAGAGGAGACUGGAAUUUACGGUGUAGCGGUGAAAUGUGUAGAGAUCGGGAGGAACACCGGUGGCGAAGGCGGGUCUCUGGGCAUCUCCUGACGCUGAGGCGCGAAAGCGUGGGGAGCAAACGGG